rnacentral:rRNA from 1 species
CGCUGGCGGCAGGCCUAACACAUGCAAGUCGAGCGGAUGAAGGGAGCUUGCUCCUGGAUUCAGCGGCGGACGGGUGAGUAAUGCCUAGGAAUCUGCCUGGUAGUGGGGGAUAACGUUUCGAAAGGAACGCUAAUACCGCAUACGUCCUACGGGAGAAAGCAGGGGACCUUCGGGCCUUGCGCUAUCAGAUGAGCCUAGGUCGGAUUAGCUAGUUGGUGGGGUAAAGGCCCACCAAGGCAACGAUCAGUAGCUGGUCUGAGAGGACGACCAGCCACACUGGAACUGAGACACGGUCCAGACUCCUACGGGAGGCAGCAGUGGGGAAUAUUGGACAAUGGGCGAAAGCCUGAUCCAGCCAUGCCGCGUGUGUGAAGAAGGUCUUCGGAUUGUAAAGCACUUUAAGUUGGGAGGAAGGGUUGUAGAUUAAUACUCUGCAAUUUUGACGUUACCGACAGAAUAAGCACCGGCU